UUCCCGACGAUGGCGACGGUGGACUCGUUGCAUUGAGUUGUGGUGGCCCGAUCGCUUGCGUACCUCGGUCUCUAGAACGCUUAGAUCAUCCUGUCGCGUUCUAAUGCCGAGAUGGUGCGGCACUGUGCGGUAGAGGACUGCGGCAACCUCCUGAUUCGGUGCGGAAAACCUAUUCACCAGUUCCCAAAGGACGAACAACUUCGUGCGCUUUGGAUCCGGCUCGCACGACCGUCCUCCCCGGCGUGGCUUCCAACUACGAGUGAUCGCUUGUGUUCCUAUCACUUUCGUGAUGAGGACUACGUGCGAAGCCCCAGGGUGAUGGAGUCCUUGGGCUUCCCGGUGAGGAACGUACAACUCAAACCAGGAGUUUUGCCCCGUUUAUUUUCAAAGAAGCGGAGAUCUGGCGAGCGCAGCGAACCCCUUGACAAGCGACGCAGAGUGGUACGUUUGGUGCGUUGGUUUCCAUUCUGCGUCCACCUGUGGCCUCCCCCACCUCUCUGAUAUGGACUGACGACGCCCGCACCCAGACAGCAGCCUUGAGAGCAAUGACUGCUGCUAGACAUCCUGUGUUUUCAGCAUCGUCACGUUACGAGACACGGUCCGUGAUGACGCAGACAACAGGCUUCGGCAGAAACGCAGGUACACAAGCAUGUAUACCAUCGAGGAACAAGAAAGUGCAGACGGAGCUUUCUGGAAUUAUGCCGCAGACCUCUUCCUCGUCAAACUGUGGUGAUCCAGAACAGAGUUUUAGGAGUUCCCUGAGGCCCUGCAACUCCCAGACAUCACUUUGUGACCCCCCUUUUGUGCAGUUCUGAUUCAGAAGACCUGGGUGUAUCAGGGAAGCAGCCACUGGAAAGAGAUGACCCUACGUAUUGUCCACCAGAGGACAGCUCUGUUAGGCUUGAGAGGGAAACACCAUCUUUGGUAAAGGAGAGGAAAUUCAUUGUAUUCGAGUCUUGCCUUGACCUUCUCCUGGGGAAGUGCCAAGUAUGUGCUGCUCCCCUGAUCCACGUGGACAAGAGUGUCGUUGGCUGCAGCCUGCAAGUCUACUCAAUUUGUCGGAGUGGACACGUGAAUGACUGGUGCAGCCAGCCCAUCAUCAAGCGGAAGCCGGUGGGGAGUAUCCUAAUGGCUGCGGCAAUCCUGUUCAGUGGCAGCUGCGUAAAGAAGACACUCAGAACACUCACCAGCAUGGGGAUUGUCUGUUUCUCCUAUGGCACCUUCUUCAACAUCCAGAAGGCCUUUCUCCUGCCCUCAAUCGAAAAGGUCUGGAACAAGCAUCAG